GACGAACGCUGGCGGCGUGCCUAAUACAUGCAAGUCGAGCGAAGUUUUUCUGGUGCUUGCACUAGAAAAACUUAGCGGCGAACGGGUGAGUAACACGUAAAGAACCUGCCUCAUAGACUGGGACAACUAUUGGAAACGAUAGCUAAUCCCGGAUAACAGUAUUUCUCGCAUGAGAGAUAUUUAAAAGUUGGUUAUGCUAACACUAUGAGAUGGCUUUGCGGUGCAUUAGCUAGUUGGUGGGGUAAAGGCACACCAAGGCGACGAUGCAUAGCCGACCUGAGAGGGUGAUCGGCCACACUGGGACUGAGACACGGCCCAGACUCCUACGGGAGGCAGCAGUAGGGAAUCUUCCGCAAUGGGCGAAAGCCUGACGGAGCAACGCCGCGUGAGUGAAGAAGGAUUUCGGUUCGUAAAGCUCUGUUGUUAGGGAAGAAUGGAUAUGUAGUAACUAUACAUGUAAGUGACGGUACCUAACCAGAAAGCCACGGCUAACUACGUG
rnacentral:rRNA from 1 species